rnacentral:rRNA from 1 species
UGGGGAAUCUUGGACAAUGGGCGCAAGCCUGAUCCAGACAUGCCGCGUGGAUGAUGAAGGCCUUAGGGUUGUAAAAUCCUUUUCGCCGAGGACGAUAAUGACGGUACUCGGAGAAGAAGCUCCGGCUAACUUCGUGCCAGCAGCCGCGGUAAUACGAAGGGGGCUAGCGUUGUUCGGAUUUACUGGGCGUAAAGCGCGUGUAGGCGGGUCGUUAAGUUGGGGGUGAAAUCCCGAGGCUCAACCUCGGAACUGCCUUCAAAACUGGCGACCUGGACCUAAGUAGAGGCAAGUGGAAUUGCGAGUGUAGAGGUGAAAUUCGUAGAUAUUCGCAGGAACACCAGUGGCGAAGGCGACUUGCUGGACUUAUGGUGACGCUGAGACGCGAAAGCGUGGGGAGCAAACAGGAUUAGAUACCCACGUAGUCCCUGAGCGGGCUGGCAAGGCGCAU